GAUGAACGCUGGCGGCGUGCCUAAUACAUGCAAGUCGAGCGAACGGACGAGAAGCUUGCUUUUCUGAUGUUAGCGGCGGACGGGUGAGUAACACGUGGAUAACCUACCUAUAAGACUGGGAUAACUUCGGGAAACCGGAGCUAAUACCGGAUAAUAUUUUGAACCGCAUGGUUCAAUAGUGAAAGACGGUUUUGCUGUCACUUAUAGAUGGAUCCGCGCUGCAUUAGCUAGUUGGUAAGGUAACGGCUUACCAAGGCAACGAUGCAUAGCCGACCUGAGAGGGUGAUCGGCCACACUGGAACUGAGACACGGUCCAGACUCCUACGGGAGGCAGCAGUAGGGAAUCUUCCGCAAUGGGCGAAAGCCUGACGGAGCAACGCCGCGUGAGUGAUGAAGGUCUUCGGAUCGUAAAACUCUGUUAUUAGGGAAGAACAAAUGUGUAAGUAACUGUGCACAUCUUGACGGUACCUAAUCAGAAAGCCACGGCUAACUACGUG
rnacentral:rRNA from 1 species